rnacentral:rRNA from 1 species
GAUGAACGCUGGCGGCGUGCUUAACACAUGCAAGUCGAACGAGAAGUGGAGACGGAAACCUUCGGGCGGAAGACUUUAUUUCGAGUGGCGGACGGGUGAGUAACGCGUGGGUAACCUGCCUCAUACAGGGGGAUAACAGUUGGAAACGACUGUUAAUACCGCAUAAGACCACAGCACCGCAUGGUGCGGGGGUAAAAACUCCGGUGGUAUGAGAUGGACCCGCGUUCGAUUAGCCAGUUGGCGGGGUAACGGCCCACCAAAGCGACGAUCGAUAGCCGAUCUGAGAGGAGGACCGGCCACAUUGGGACUGAGACACGGCCCAAACUCCUACGGGAGGCAGCAGUAGGGAAUAUUGCACAAUGGGGGAAACCCUAAUGCAGCGACGCCGCGUGAGUGAAGAAGUAUUUCGGUAUGUAAAGCUCUAUCAGCAGAGAAGAAAAUGACGGUACCUGAGUAAGAAGCCCCGGCUAACUACGUG